rnacentral:piRNA from 1 species
UGGAGAUGGCCACUCUCGGUGUUAAGGGU